GGCGGAUGUAGCCMAGUGGAUCAAGGCAGUGGAUUUGUG
rnacentral:tRNA from 1 species